GCCAAGUAUCUGUAAACACCAAGAGCAGCCUGUAGCUACAUACAAAAAAUCUACAAGCUCAGUUCUUUUUUUUCUAAGACUAGAAUCUAAUUUCUCCAAUCAAUUGGAUCACAUACUUUAAUGGUAAACCUAAUUUAGUAGUUACACUUACAUCACACUGCUUUAUGAAAAUUCUUCAACACUUCCAGCAGUUGAGUUUUCUUCCUUAUUCACAACAGAAAUUUCCACUGAUUCGCCCUUCUAUUCUGCGCUACUUUAUGACGUAGCAGAUGAAACAGCAUGGCCUUGAAAGUCUAAUCCAUGGUCCUGUGCAGAUUGCACUUUUGAGUUGAAUUAUCUUCAAGCAUCUCCCAUCGUUCUUUAUGUAGCCUCAAUUUCUCUGUUUCACCAUCAUUAUAUACGACCUUGUGUUUCCUUUCCACAGGAUCAAAAGAAGAAACUACUCCCUCGUAAAACUUUUCAUCCAAUGGCCACCAAACUUUUAUCCUAGCGCCAACCAGUUCCUUACCAUAAUCUUUCAUGGUAAAAGUCCUUUUAAAAUCCUUUUGAGAUGAAUUGUCUUCAAGCAUCAUCCAACGUUGUUUAUAUAGUCUCAAAAUCUCUACUUCACCAUCAUCAUAUACGACCUUGUGUUUGUUUGUCUCAAAAUCAAAAGAA
rnacentral:misc_RNA from 1 species